UACGUAGGGGGCAAGCGUUGUCCGGAAUUAUUGGGCGUAAAGGGUGCGUAGGCGGGUCUUUAAGUCAGGGGUGAAAUCCUGGAGCUCAACUCCAGAACUGCCUUUGAUACUGAGGAUCUUGAGUUCGGGAGAGGUGAGUGGAACUGCGAGUGUAGAGGUGAAAUUCGUAGAUAUUCGCAAGAACACCAGUGGCGAAGGCGGACUCACUGGCCCGAUACUGACGCUGAGGCACGAAAGCGUGGGGAGCAAACAGGG
rnacentral:rRNA from 1 species